rnacentral:rRNA from 1 species
GACGAACGCUGGCGGCGUGCCUAACACAUGCAAGUCGAACGGAAAGGCCAUGCUUUUGUGGGGUGCUCGAGUGGCGAACGGGUGUGUAACACGUGAGUAACCUCCCCUUGACUUUGGGAUAACUUCAGGGAACUGGGGCUAAUAUCGGAUAGGAGCUAUUGCUGCAUAGUGGGGGAUGGAAAAUUCCGGCGGUUGUGGAUGGACUCGCGGCUUACCAGCUUGUUGGUGGGGUAGUAGCUUCCCAAGGCUUUGACGGGUAGCCGGCCUGAGAGCGUAGCCGGCGACAUGAGUACUGGGGUACGGCCCAGCCUCGUACCGUACGCAGCAGUCGGGAACAUUGCACAAUAAGCCGAAGCGUGAGGUAGCAACCCCCCGUGCGGGAUGCCGUCCUACGGGUUGUAAACCGCUUUCUCCUGAGACGAAGCGUGCGUGACGGUAAUGGGUAAGAAAGCCACGGCUAACUACGUG